GAUGAACGCUGGCGGCGUGCCUAAUACAUGCAAGUCGAGCGAACAGACGAGGAGCUUGCUCCUCUGACGUUAGCGGCGGACGGGUGAGUAACACGUGGAUAACCUACCUAUAAGACUGGGAUAACUUCGGGAAACCGGAGCUAAUACCGGAUAAUAUAUUGAACCGCAUGGUUCAAUAGUGAAAGACGGUUUUGCUGUCACUUAUAGAUGGAUCCGCGCCGCAUUAGCUAGUUGGUAAGGUAACGGCUUACCAAGGCGACGAUGCGUAGCCGACCUGAGAGGUUGAUCGGCCACACUGGAACUGGGACACGUCCCGGACUCUACGGGAGGCAGCAGUAGGGAAUCUUCCGCAAUGGGCGAAAGCCUGACGGAGCAACGCCGCGUGAGUGAUGAAGGUCUUCGGAUCGUAAAACUCUGUUAUUAGGGAAGAACAAAUGUGUAAGUAACUAUGCACGUCUUGACGGUACCUAAUCAGAAAGCCACGGCUAACUACGUG
rnacentral:rRNA from 1 species